rnacentral:misc_RNA from 1 species
UAAAAGGAUCAGCAUGUCGGUUGACAGCAGCAUAGUUCUGCAGUUCCGACUUCAAGUGCUCAAUCUUUCUCCCAGCCAAUGAAUUGCUAAAGAUUCGUUGAAGCUUUUCAACGUUGAUUUACAGUUUGUUGUCCUGUGGAUCCAGAAAGAAACAUCUUGUGAACCGUUCCGUCUCUGGCGAGAGGGUAGUGAAGAACUACUUGUCAGCAUUGCUUUUGCGGUGCCGUGGACAGCUCGCCAACCCCUUCUAAACAUAUAUUUAUUUUUUAUGCCUGACAUUUAUUGUAUAAAUAUACAAAA